GUGGUGACAACGGGUAACGGAGGGUUAGGGCUCGACCCCGGAGAAGGAGCCUGAGAAACGGCUACUACAUCCAAGGAAGGCAGCAGGCGCGCAAAUUACCCAAUCCCGACACGGGGAGGUAGUGACAAUAAAUACUGAUACAGGGCUCUUUUGGGUCUUGUAAUUGGAAUGAGUACAAUUUAAAUCCCUUAACGAGGAACAAUUGGAGGGCAAGUCUGGUGCCAGCAGCCGCGGUAAUUCCAGCUCCAAUAGCGUAUAUUAAAGUUGUUGAGGUUAAAAAGCUCGUAGUUGAACCUUGGGCCUAGCCGGCCGGUCCGCCUCACCGCGUGCACUGGCUCGGCUGGGUCUUUCCUUCUGGAGAACCGCAUGCCCUUCACUGGGUGUGCCGGGGAACCAGGACUUUUACUCUGAACAAAUUAGAUCGCUUAAAGAAGGCCUAUGCUCGAAUACAUUAGCAUGGAAUAAUAGAAUAGGACGUGUGGUUCUAUUUUGUUGGUUUCUAGGACCGCCGUAAUGAUUAAUAGGGACAGUCGGGGGCAUCAGUAUUCAAUUGUCAGAGGUGAAAUUCUUGGAUUUAUUGAAGACUAACUACUGCGAAAGCAUUUGCCAAGGAUGUUUUCAUUAAUCAGGAACGAAAGUUAGGGGAUCGAAGACGAUCAGAUACCGUCGUAGUCUUAACCAUAAACUAUGCCGAUUAGGGAUCGGACGGCGUUAUUUUUUGACCCGUUCGGCACCUUACGAUAAAUCAAAAUG
rnacentral:rRNA from 1 species